UCUACGUUUUAACCAAGACACUAGAACUUUUUCAUUCGAGCAGGUGAUGUGGUGCUGAACGGUCUACUCUUUGCAGCACUUGACGAAUUCUACCAGCUAUUCGCACCCAAGAAAAUUACUUAUCACGCUGAGACUAAGAGUUUUUAAGUCAACUUAUUUUUAAUAACUAGCUUAUUGAAGCAAGAAAUGGAUUCACGCCAGUUUGCCAUUUUAGUUUUGGCCAUCUUUAUCUCAACUUUGGCGCUGGCACUUGGAGUUGGAGAAACAAACAAAACUGUAGUGGGA